UCACAAACUUCACGCGACGUCGAGAGCGCGGUAAUUCUCGGUCUACUUGUACUUGACCUCCAGGUCACUGCUCUGUGUACGUUGUGUGUAGUGAAUUGGACCAAUGCUCGGACGAAGCUUGAAGCUCCAGUAGUCUUAUCUUGUUUGCGCUACUGGCCUUUUCCAAUUGAGGGCGGUGUACAUGUGUUUGUCCUGUCCGUCCGGCCCGGCCCGCGAUGAUCAUGCUGUGUUCGAAGUUUUGUGAAACUUCACGAUUUUCAGCAAAGAUUAUAUAGCGCUACGCUAUACAAUCUUUGAUUUUCAGCACAAAAAGGACGUCAUUGGUAAAACGUGGGACAUCAUAUGGUACCAUUUUCCCACAAAAACAACUCAAAAGAUGGUCAACCGAUGCAGGACUGUGGUGGAACGCAUCUGUGUUAGUCUAUACUGACACCAUUGUGCUGUCAUUGGAGGGAGCCAGCAGAUAGACCACGCCCACCCAACACUUUGUGACUCAUCUGGUGGUCAUUAAAGGACACUAUUCAGGUCGACGGGGUAUACUGAUGAACGGUUGACUGAUGGAGCAGGAAAUUUAUUAAGGCAGUAAAGGGGACUACAAUGAAAAAGCAUCUAUGCUUGUCUACUGACACCAUUGUGCUGUCUUGGGAGGGAGCCGGCAGAUAGACCACGCCCAGCCAUUCCACUUUGUCACUCAUCUGGUGGUCACAAAAGGACAGCAUUCAGGUUGACGGGGUGUACUGAUGAACGGUUGACUGAUGGAGCAGGAAAUUUAUUAAGGCAGUA